rnacentral:rRNA from 1 species
GAAGAGAGAGUUAAAGAGGACGUGAAACCGAUAAGGUGGAAACGGAUAGAGCUGACGUAUCUAGCUUGUAUUCAGCCGUCGUGUUGUGCUUGGGCGAGUUGGCCGAUCCUGCUUUUGGUUGGUCGGCAUGUCCGUGGCGUAGUAUGGCGGUGCAUUUGCAAGUGGAGUGCGCCGAGGAAUACACUUCAGCGGUUGGAGAUGUGUUUUGAGGGCUCUUUUCGGAGAGUAUCCCUGGCGCAAGGAAGACUGUUUGUUGUGUACUGAUUGCAAUGAGUAUGGCCUACGAGUCGGCCGGCUAUUUGCUCUGCGCUAGGCUAUGAUCGCAUGCGAUUGUACCUAUUGUUGGGGUAGGUGGUUGGUGCGGACUCUCAUGCUCGCUUUCGGUGUAAAAGUCGGUCAUCUAUCCGACCCGUCUUGAAACACGGACCAAGGAGUUUAGCGUGUACGCAAGUCAUUGAGUGUUGAAAACUCAAAGGCGUAAUGAAAGUAAAGGCAUCCUCGCGGAGCUGAUAUGCGAUCCUUAGCACUUCGGUGCUGAGGCGCAGCAUAGCCCCAUCCCAAUUGCUUGCAAUGGGGUGGAGGCAGAGCGUAUUCGCUGAGACCCGAAAGAUGGUGAACUAUGCCUGAGCAGGAUGAAGCCAGAGGAAACUCUGGUGGAAGUCCGAAGCGGUUCUGACGUGCAAAUCGAUCGUCUGAC